rnacentral:lncRNA from 7 species
GCCUUUUGUGUGCUGACUCACCAGAGGGCAGCAGCUUUCCAGAUGUGAUGUCAGCUCAUAAAAACGUAAGCUGUUCCUAUUGCUCUCCCGGUCAGACCAUCGCUUCAUACUGUACCCUGAUGUCAGCAAUCAAUCCCAUUUGGCCCACUUGGCUGGCAAGCUAAACCACAUUGCUCUGGGAUGGCAGCAAGUCAGGUCAGAAGGGAUGACAUGAAGGUCUCCAUGAGCACCAACAUUUCCAUGACACCUCCCACUGUCAGUGUGAUGAAUAUUCCCAAAACCAGAUUUUCAUGGAACUGGGUCAACUGAAAAGAAGUUGGGACUUUCAGCACCAUGGGACCAUCAAGACAAGUUGUUACCUGCCAGUGUUAAGCUUUUUUACCAUGAGGCAAAUUAUGACUACACUAACAUGUGUGAAACCCAGAACCGAAGCUAGAUAACAUUGCAAUAUGAUUGUCCUAAGAAAUUGUAUGAAGAACCUUCUGACCCAGCUACGAUAUGAAACAAAAAAUGCGACAAAUAAAUCAGUGCAGUGCAUGGACCCGGUCACAAUCUGCUGAUGUUUCCAUUACUUCUGCAGUGAUUUUGGGUACUUCAAAUUGACCAGAAAAGUACGGUUGGUUACGAUUUCUACCCGAGCAAACGAAAUCUAUAGAAACAACAUUGUAAAUGGAACUCCUUUGUUUCUGACCAAAAGCACAUCAUUCAGUACAGUUCUUCAGAGACACCAAGUAUCCUUGUAAACCCCUAGUCACUCCUUCCAACAACUGCUCUGAAAUAAGAAUAAACACUUGCAACUAAUGGAAUAAUUUCAAACUGAUUAAUUUGUUCAAGACCACAGAACACAGAGUAAAAUCAGUCCCAUUUCCUAGACAUUCCUUCUGUUUUUAUGAUUGACACACAGUUAAACUAGUAGUGCUUUGCAGAUUUUAUAAUAACUGUUGAUCACGGCUAAUAACUGUUGUCCUCACCUCUAUUGCUUACGAAGACAGAGAGCUUGGAUUACCUGUUAACACCAUUACCCAGCAAAAACUAUUGCAAACUGAAAACAGUAAGUCUAGACUCUGUGCUCUUAUUUAUUUGUUUAUUGAGACUUAUUUAUUUGUUUAUCAAGACUUAUUGAGGUUGUAGUGAUAUCUGACAAAUGAUUUUGGCACAAGCUACCCCAUGCUGAGCCUCAAGCUUCUCAUAGCCUCCUGCCAGGCACCAGUGUCUUCUUCAUAUUAAACGUCUUGUUGUUUCAGCCUACAGCUCAGCCACAGCUCGAAAAAUAAAGAUCCUUAAAACACCUAAAAAUGCUACAUUUUUUCACAAAGCAGAUUUAAGAGUUAGAAGAGGAAGAGUAUGAGAUGUUUUAGCCUCUCCUGUUGAAGCUGCUCCAGCCAGUGAAGGCAAAACAGGAACGUAAACCCUGCCUCUUCUUCUGAUGUUAUCCUUCCUUUCCAUCUAUUUUAUUCCAGCAGGGGUCAGGCAUGGUUGACACAUUUGGCUCUCCCAUGUGUUUCAGAAUACAGAUUUUUUUUCUGGUAAUGCAUAUAGAGAAUUGCAGAGAUGAAAAUCUGCGCACCAGGGGUCCUCAGAUAUCUCUAAGGCUAAAUAACAACUAACCAAGGAUCACCAGAACAUAAAAUGGGCAGUUAUAUAGCCAUGCCAUCUUACCCUAGUUAUUUCCAAGUGAUCACCUGGUGAGAGCUGCAGAAACAGAACAGGACAGGCUAUACCAAGAUCACCUGCAUCUCCCUGCACCAACUGUGUUACUGCUUAAGGAAUCUGAGAAAUACUGCAGUACCACAGAACUGCAAUUCUCACUGAGAAUUGCAGAAGGACAACAACUAACCUGCAAGAUAUGGAUUCAGUCAGCAGCUAGUGGGCUUUAUUUCACUAUUAUCCAGCUCCUAUCUCCUCUACAUGGCAAGACCAAAAUGUGCCAAUAGCACUCUAAAUGCAAACAGAGAACUGUGUCCCAACCUUUGUGUGUCAGUAGGUGAUUGAUAAAAUAUAUCAGUGGGAAACAGUCGGCUGGUUCCAUAGCCAGCAUCAUAACCAGCUAACAAGCCUAGGCGCUGCUUAACAAUGUGCACCACAGUUUUCAGCAACUGAGAAUCUGUGCAGUGUUCUGAUGACACAGCCACACACGCUCGGUCGAUGAGCACAGCCUUGACACUCACUACUCACCACCAGUCAUUUUCUCAGCAUGUAGGUACACCAAAAUUUAUCAUUCAGAACAAGACAGUCCUGGUGUUUACUCAGCUGUGAUUGCACUGUAUCUCCUUGUCCAGCUGCCAACAGACACAAGAACAGAUUCCAACUCUUGUCUCUCUGGUGUGGCUACAGGACUGGCAAAGAAGAGACAGCC